rnacentral:rRNA from 2 species
GGGGAAUAUUGCGCAAUGGGGGAAACCCUGACGCAGCAAUACCGCGUGAGUGAAGAAGGUUUUCGGAUCGUAAAGCUCUGUUAUUGGGGAAGAAAAAAAGACGGUACCCAAGAAGAAAGUCCCGGCUAACUACGUGCCAGCAGCCGCGGUAAUACGUAGGGAGCGAGCGUUGUCCGGAUUUACUGGGUGUAAAGGGUGCGUAGGCGGCCCUGCAAGUCAGGUGUGAAAACCGUGGGCUUAACUCACGGAUUGCACUUGAAACUGUGGGGCUUGAGUGGAGUAGAGGCAGGCGGAAUUCCCGGUGUAGCGGUGAAAUGCGUAGAGAUCGGGAGGAACACCAGUGGCGAAGGCGGCCUGCUGGGCUUUAACUGACGCUGAAGCACGAAAGCAUGGGUAGCAAACA